AUUCUGGUUGAUCCUGUAGUUAUGUGAUCCAGUAGUUAUAUGCUUGUCUCAAAGAUUAAGCCAUGCAUGUCUAAGUACACACGAAUUAAAAGUGAAACCGCAAAAGGCUCAUUAUAUAAGUUAUGGUUCCUUAGAUCGUUAACAGUUACUUGAAUAACUGUGGUAAUUCUAGAGCUAAUACAUGCAAUUAAAACAUGAACCUUAUGGGACAUGUGCUUUUAUUCGGCUAAAACCAAGCGAUCGCAAGAUCGUUAUAUUGGUUGAACUCUAGAUAACAUGCAGAUCGUAUGGUCUUGUACCGAUGACAGAUCUUUCAAAUGUCUGCCCUAUCCACUUUUGAUGGUAUUAUCUAGGACUACCAUGGUUGCAACGGGUAACGGCGGUUCGAUUCCGGAGAGGGAGCCUGAGAAACGGCUACCACAUCUAAGGAAGGCAGCAGGCGCGUAAAUUACCCACUCCCAGCUCGGGGAGGUAGUGACGAAAAAUAACAAUACAGGACUCAUAUCCAAGGCCCUGUAAUUGGAAUGAGUACACUUUAAAUCCUUUAACAAGGACCAAUUGGUCCUUACCGGUGUAUUACCGGUGGAGUUCUUAUAUGUGAUUAAAUACUUGUAUUUUUUCAUAUGUUCCUCCUAUUUAAAAACCUGCACUAGUGCUCUUAAACGAGUGUUAUUGUGGGCCGGUACUAUUACUUUGAACAAAUUAGAGUGCUUAAAGCAGGCUUCAAAUGCCUUAAUAUUCUGUGAAUGGGAUAAUGAAAUAAGACCUCUGUUCUGCUUUCAUUGGUUUUCAGAUCAAGAGGUAAUGAUUAAUAGAAGCAGUUUGGGCGCAGAAGCAUACUACGCGAGACGUGAAAUUCUUGGACCGUACCUGUUGGGUUGUCCCAUUAUAAGGACACUAGCUUCUUAAAUGGACAAAUUGCGUCUAGCAAUAAUGAGAUUGAGCAAUAACAGGUGUGCAUGUCCUGGGCUGCACGAACGCUACAAUGAAAGUAUCAACGUGUAUUUCCUAGACCGAGAGGUCCGGGUAAGCCGCUGAACCACUUUCAUGCUUGGGAUUGUGAACUGAAACUAGUUCACAUGAACUCGGAAUUCCCAGUAAGUGUGAGUCAUUAACUCGCAUUGAUUACGACGUCCCCUGCCCUUUGUACACACCGCCCGUCGCUACUUCCCGAUUGAAUUAUUUAGUGAGGUCACCGGACGUGAUCACUGUGACGCCUUGCG
rfam:Drosophila sechellia strain Rob3c scaffold_3066 genomic scaffold, whole genome shotgun sequence.